rnacentral:rRNA from 1 species
AUUGUACGCUGGCGGCAGGCCUAACACAUGCAAGUCGAGCGCGAAAGUUCUUCGGAAUGAGUAAAGCGGCGGACGGGUGAGUAAUACAUGGGAAUCUGCCUGGUAGUGGGGGACAACGUUUCGAAAGGAACGCUAAUACCGCAUACGCCCUACGGGGGAAAGGGGGGAUCUUCGGACCUCUCGCUAUCAGAUGAGCCCAU